GACAGGGUCGACCACGUGGUGGGGCGGACAUUCGUGGCACACGAACUCCGGCGAGAGUUCCGGGGCACUGGAUCUCGAUUCACCCUAGGCAAGGUGCCGACCACCCUCCCCAUGACCGAGCGAACCUCUCUGGAUAAUCGCUGAGGGCUGGGUUGCGCCAGGCUCGAGCUUCCCCGCACGACGGAAAUCUGUGGCUCUCUCCUCUCAACUCUAUUCGUCCGGCGAUGGUUUGUGGGGGUGAAGGGAGGAGCGAGAACACCCGAGAGUCAGCUAUAUGACUUUGGAAGGUCGGUACGGGGUGCUACGCAACAGAGUCCGCUUUCCCCGUGGCGCCGAGCUCUUCGGCGCGUUCUGUUGCGA
rnacentral:lncRNA from 7 species